AUUUAUAUUUAUCUUUUGGAUGUCAGUCAUACAGUCUGAUUUUGUGGUUUGCUAGUGUUUGAAUUUAAGUCUUAAGUGACUAUUAUAGAAAUGUAUUAAGAGGCUUUAUUUGUAGAAUUCACUUUAAUUACAUUUAAUGAGUUUUUGUUUUGAGUUCCUUAAAAUUCCUUAAAGUUUUUAGCUUCUCAUUACAAAUUCCUUAACCUUUUUUUGGCAGUAGAUAGUCAAAGUCAAAUCAUUUCUAAUGUUUUAAAAAUGUGCUGGUCAUUUUCUUUGAAAUUGACUUAACUAUUUUCCUUUGAAGAGUCUGUAGCACAGAAACAGUAAAAAAUUUAACUUCAUGACCUAAUGUAAAAAAGAGUGUUUGAAGGUUUACACAGGUCCAGGCCUUGCUUUGUUCCCAUCCUUGAUGCUGCACUAAUUGACUAAUCACCUACUUAUCAGACAGGAAACUUGAAUUGCUGUGGUCUGGUGUCCUCUAUUCAGACUUAUUAUAUUGGAGUAUUUCAAUUUUUCGUUGUAUCCUGCCUGCCUAGCAUCCAGUUCCUCCCCAGCCCUGCUCCCAGCAAACCCCUAGUCUAGCCCCAGCCCUACUCCCACCCCGCCCCAGCCCUGCCCCAGCCCCAGUCCCCUAACCCCCCAGCCCUAGCCCCAGUCCCAGUCCUAGUUCCUCAGUCCCGCCCAGCUUCUCUCGAAAGUCACUCUAAUUUUCAUUGAUUCAGUGCUCAAAAUAAGUUGUCCAUUGCUUAUCCUAUUAUACUGGGAUAUUCCGUUUACCCUUGGCAUUGCUGAUCUUCAGUACUGACUCCUUGACCAUUUUCAGUUAAUGCAUACAAUCCCAUUUGUCUGUGAUCUCAGGACAAAGAAUUUCCUUACUCGGUACGUUGAAGUUAGGGAAUGUCAAUUGAGAGCUUUCUAUCAGAGCAUUAUUGCCCACAAUUUGAGUUACUUAUCAUUUUCUCGAUCCCCUGCCCUUAAAGGAGAAACCAUUUCUCUGUCAUUGCUUCUGUAGUCACAGUCCCAAUUUUGAGUAGUGAUCUUUUCUUGUGUACUGUGUUGGCCACCUAAAACUCUUUGCAUUGAGUAAAAUUCUAAUUGCCAAUAAUCCUACCCAUUGGAUUAGACAGCACUCUGAACCCCAUUUGCAUUCAGCAGGGGGUCGCAGACAACCCGUCUUUUGUUGGACAGUUAAAAUGCUCAGUCCCAAUUGUCAUAGCUUUGCCUAUUAAACAAAGGCACCCUACUGCGCUUUUUGCUGUGCUUCUGGAGAAUCCUGCUGUUCUUGGACAAUUAAAGAACAAAGUAGUAAUUGCUAAUUGUCUCACCCAUUAAUCAUGAAGACUACCAGUCGCCCUUGCAUUUGCCUUGAGGCAGCGCUGACUACCUGAGAUUUAAGAGUUUCUUAAAUUAUUGAGUAAAAUCCCAAUUAUCCAUAGUUCUGUUAGUUACACUAUGGCCUUUGCAAACAUCUUUGCAUAACAGCAGUGGGACUGACUCAUUCUUAGAGCCCCUUCCCUUGGAAUAUUAAUGGAUACAAUAGUAAUUAUUCAUGGUUCUGCGUAACAGAGAAGACCCACUUAUGUGUAUGCCUUUAUCAUUGCUCCUAGAUAGUGUGAACUACCUACCACCUUGCAUUAAUAUGUAAAACACUAAUUGCCCAUAGUCCCACUCAUUAGUCUAGGAUGUCCUCUUUGCCAUUGCUGCUGAGUUCUGACUACCCAAGUUUCCUUCUCUUAAACAGUUGAUAUGCAUAAUUGCAUAUAUUCAUGGUUCUGUGCAAUAAAAAUGGAUUCUCACCCCAUCCCACCUUCUGUGGGAUGUUGCUAACGAGUGCAGAUUAUUCAAUAACAGCUCUUGAACAGUUAAUUUGCACAGUUGCAAUUGUCCAGAGUCCUGUCCAUUAGAAAGGGACUCUGUAUCCUAUUUGCACGCUACAAUGUGGGCUGAUCACCCAAGGACUCUUCUUGUGCAUUGAUGUUCAUAAUUGUAUUUGUCCACGAUCUUGUGCACUAACCCUUCCACUCCCUUUGUAUUCCAGCAGGGGACCCUUACUACUCAAGACCUCUGUACUAGGACAGUUUAUGUGCACAAUCCUAAUUGAUUAGAACUGAGUCUUUUAUAUCAAGGUCCCUGCAUCAUCUUUGCUUUACAUCAAGAGGGUGCUGGUUACCUAAUGCCCCUCCUCCAGAAAUUAUUGAUGUGCAAAAUGCAAUUUCCCUAUCUGCUGUUAGUCUGGGGUCUCAUCCCCUCAUAUUCCUUUUGUCUUACAGCAGGGGGUACUUGGGACUGUUAAUGCGCAUAAUUGCAAUUAUGGUCUUUUCCAUUAAAUUAAGAUCCCAACUGCUCACACCCUCUUAGCAUUACAGUAGAGGGUGCUAAUCACAAGGACAUUUCUUUUGUACUGUUAAUGUGCUACUUGCAUUUGUCCCUCUUCCUGUGCACUAAAGACCCCACUCACUUCCCUAGUGUUCAGCAGUGGAUGACCUCUAGUCAAGACCUUUGCACUAGGAUAGUUAAUGUGAACCAUGGCAACUGAUCACAACAAUGUCUUUCAGAUCAGAUCCAUUUUAUCCUCCUUGUUUUACAGCAAGGGAUAUUAAUUACCUAUGUUACCUUUCCCUGGGACUAUGAAUGUGCAAAAUUCCAAUGUUCAUGGUCUCUCCCUUUAAACCUAUAUUCUACCCCUUUUACAUUAUAGAAAGGGAUGCUGGAAACCCAGAGUCCUUCUCUUGGGACUCUUAAUGUGUAUUUCUAAUUAUCCAUGACUCUUAAUGUGCAUAUUUUCAAUUGCCUAAUUGAUUUCAAUUGUCUAAGACAUUUCAAAUGUCUAAUUGAUUAGAACUGAGUCUUUUAUAUCAAGCUAAUAUCUAGCUUUUAUAUCAAGCUAAUAUCUUGACUUCUCAGCAUCAUAGAAGGGGGUACUGAUUUCCUAAAGUCUUUCUUGAAUUUCUAUUAUGCAAAAUUGCCCUGAGGCCGGGUGUGGUGGCUCACACCUGUAAUCCCAGCACUUUGGGAGGCUGAGGUGGGAAGAUCCCUUACUGCCAGGAGUUUGAGACCAGCCUGGCCAACAUUAAAAAAAAAAAAAAGUAAGACAAUUGCCCUGGAAUCCCAUCCCCCUCACACCUCCUUGGCAAAGCAGCAGGAGUGCUAACUAGCUAGUGCUUCUUCUCUUAUACUGCUUAAAUGCGCAUAAUUAGCAGUAGUUGAUGUGCCCCUAUGUUAGAGUAGAAUCCCGCUUCCUUGCUCCAUUUGCAUUACUGCAGGAGCUUCUAACUAGCCUGAAUUCACUCUCUUGGACUGUUAAUGUGCAUACUUAUAUUUGCUGCUGUACUUUUUUACCAUGUAAGGACCCCACCCACUGUAUUUACAUCCCAGCUGGAAGUACCUACUACUUAAGACCCUUAGACUAGUAAAGUUAGCGUGCAUAAUCUUAGGUGUUAUAUACACAUUUUCAGUUGCAUACAGUUGUGCCUUUUAUCAGGACUCCUGUACUUAUCAAAGCAGAGAGUGCUAAUCAAUAUUAAGCCCUUCUCUUCGAACUGUAGAUGGCAUGUAAUUGCAGUUGUCAAUGGUCCUUCAAUUAGACUUGGGUUUCUGACCUAUCACACCCUCUUUGCUUUAUUGCAUGGGGUACUAUUCACUUAAGGCCCCUUUCUCAAACUGUUAAUGUGCCUAAUGACAAUUACAUCAGUAUCCUUCCUUUUGAAGGACAGCAUGGUUGGUGACACCUAAGGCCCCAUUUCUUGGCCUCCCAAUAUGUGUGAUUGUAUUUGUCGAGGUUGCUAUGCACUAGAGAAGGAAAGUGCUCCCCUCAUCCCCACUUUUCCCUUCCAGCAGGAAGUGCCCACCCCAUAAGACCCUUUUAUUUGGAGAGUCUAGGUGCACAAUUGUAAGUGACCACAAGCAUGCAUCUUGGACAUUUAUGUGCGUAAUCGCACACUGCUCAUUCCAUGUGAAUAAGGUCCUACUCUCCGACCCCUUUUGCAAUACAGAAGGGUUGCUGAUAACGCAGUCCCCUUUUCUUGGCAUGUUGUGUGUGAUUAUAAUCGUCUGGGAUCCUAUGCACUAGAAAAGGAGGGUCCUCUCCACAUACCUCAGUCUCACCUUUCCCUUCCAGCAGGGAGUGCCCACUCCAUAAGACUCUCACAUUUGGACAGUCAAGGUGCGUAAUUGUUAAGUGAACACAACCAUGCACCUUAGACAUGGAUUUGCAUAACUACACACAGCUCAACCUAUCUGAAUAAAAUCCUACUCUCAGACCCCUUUUGCAGUACAGCAGGGGUGCUGAUCACCAAGGCCCUUUUUCCUGGCCUGGUAUGCGUGUGAUUAUGUUUGUCCCGUUUCUGUGUAAUAGACAUGGAAGCCUCCCCUGCCACACUCCACCCCCAAUCUUCCUUUCCCUUCUGGCAGGAAGUACCCGCUCCAUAAGACCCUUACAUUUGGACAGUCAAGGUGCACAAUUGUAUGUGACCACAACCAUGCACCUUGGACAUAAAUGUGUGUAACUGCACAUGGCCCAUCCCAUCUGAAUAAGGUCCUACUCUCAGACCCCUUUUGCAGUACAGUAGGUGUGCUGAUAACCAAGGCCCCUCUUCCUGGCCUGUUAACGUAUGUGAUUAUAUUUGUCUGGGUUCCAGUGUAUAAGACAUGGAAGCCUCCCCUGCCCCACCCCACCCUCAAUCUUCCUUUCCCUUCUGGCAGGGAGUGCCAGCUCCAUAAGAACCUUACAUUUGGACAGUCAAGGUGCACAAUUCUAAGUGACCGCAGCCAUGCACCUUGGUCAAUAAUGUGUGUAACUGCACACGGCCUAUCUCAUCUGAAUAAGGCCUUACUCUCAGACCCCUUUUGCAGUACAGCAGGGGUGCUGAUAACCAAGGCCCAUUUUCCUGGCCUGUUAUGUGUGUGAUUAUAUUUGUCCAGGUUUCUGUGUACUAGACAAGGAAGCCUCCUCUGCCCCAUCCCAUCUACGCAUAAUCUUUCUUUUCCUCCCAGCAGGGAGUGCUCACUCCAUAAGACCCUUACAUUUGGACAAUCAAGGUGCACAAUUGUAAGUGACCACAACCAUGCAUCUUGGAAAUUUAUGUGCAUAACUGCACAUGGCUUAUCCUAUUUGAAUAAAGUCCUACUCUCAGACCCCCUUUGCAGUAUAGCUGGGGUGCUGAUCACUGAGGCCUCUUUGCUUGGCUUGUCUAUAUUCUUGUGUACUAGAUAAGGGCACCUUCUCAUGGACUCCCUUUGCUUUUCAACAAGGAGUACCCACUACUUUUUAAGAUUCUUAUAUUUGUCCAAAGUACAUGGUUUUAAUUGACCACAACAAUGUCCCUUGGACAUUAAUGUAUGUAAUCACCACAUGGUUCAUCCUAAUUAAACAAAGUUCUACCUUCUCACCCUCCAUUUGCAGUAUACCAGGGUUGCUGACCCCCUAAGUCCCCUUUUCUUGGCUUGUUGACAUGCAUAAUUGCAUUUAUGUUGGUUCUUGUGCCCUAGACAAGGAUGCCCCACCUCUUUUCAAUAGUGGGUGCCCACUCCUUAUGAUCUUUACAUUUGAACAGUUAAUGUGAAUAAUUGCAGUUGUCCACAACCCUAUCACUUCUAGGACCAUUAUACCUCUUUUGCAUUACUGUGGGGUAUACUGUUUCCCUCCAAGGCCCCUUCUGGUGGACUAUCAACAUAUAAUUGAAAUUUUCUUUUGUCUUUGUCAGUAGAUUAAGGUCAUACCCCAUCACCUUUCCUUUGUAGUACAACAGGGUGUCCUGAUCAACCAAAGUCCUGUUGUUUUGGACUGUUAAUAUGUGCAAUUACAUUUGCUCCUGAUCUGUGCACUAGAUAAGGAUCCUACCUACUUUCUUAGUGUUUUUAGCAGGUAGUGCCCACUACUCAAGACUGUCACUUGGAAUGUUCAUGUGCACAAACUCAAUUCUCUAAGCAUGUUCCUGUACCACCUUUGCUUUAGAGCAGGGGGAUGAUAUUCACUAAGUGCCCCUUCUUUUGGACUUAAUAUGCAUUAAUGCAAUUGUCCACCUCUUCUUUUAGACUAAGAGUUGAUCUCCACAUAUUCCCCUUGCAUCAGGGGCAUGUUAAUUAUGAAUGAACCCUUUUCUUUUAAUAUUAAUGUCAUAAUUGUAUUUGUGGACCUGUGUAGGAGAAAAAGACCCUAUGUUCCUCCCAUUACCCUUUGGAUUGCUGCUGAGAAGUGUUAACUACUCAUAAUCUCAGCUCUUGGACAAUUAAUAGCAUUAAUAACAAUUAUCAAGGGCACUGAUCAUUAGAUAAGACUCCUGCUUCCUCGUUGCUUACAUCGGGGGUACUGACCCACUAAGGCCCCUUGUACUGUUAAUGUGAAUAUUUGCAAUUAUAUAUGUCUCCUUCUGGUAGAGUGGGAUAUUAUGCCCUAGUAUCCCCUUUGCAUUACUGCAGGGGCUGCUGACUACUCAAAACUUCUCCUGGGACUGUUAAUAGGCACAAUGGCAGUUAUCAAUGGUUUUCUCCCUCCCUGACCUUGUUAAGCAAGCGCCCCACCCCACCCUUAGUUUCCCAUGGCAUAAUAAAGUAUAAGCAUUGGAGUAUUCCAUGCACUUGUCUAUCAAACAGUGGUCCAUACUCCCAACCCUUUUGCAUUGCGCCAGUGUGUAAAAUCACAGGUAGCCAUGGUGUCAUGCUUUAUAUACGAAGUCUUCCCUCUCUCUGCCCCUUGUGUGCCCUUGGCCCCUUUUUACAGACUAUUGCUCACAAUCUCAGGUGUCCAUAUUUGCAGCUAUUAGGUAAGAUUGUGCUGUCUCCCUCUUCCCUUCCCUCUGCCCUGCCCCUUUUGCCUCUUUGCUGGGUAAUGUUGACCAGACAAGGCCCUUUCUCUUGGACUUAAACAAUUCUCAGUUGCACUUUCCUUGGUCCCACCCAUUAUACAUGAACCCCUCUACUUCCUUUCGCAUUGCUUCUGAGUAUGCUGACUACCCAAAGCCCCUUCUGUGUUAUUAAUAAACACAGUACUGAUUGUCCCAUUUUUCAGCCCAUCAGUCCAAGAUCUCCCUACCACUUUGGUGUGUUGGUGCAGUGUUGACUAUGAAAAGCAGGCCUGAACUAGGUGGAUAAGCCUUCACUCAUUUUCUUUCAUUUAUUAAUGAUCCUAGUUUCAAUUAUUGUCAGAUUCUGGGGACAAGAACCAUUCUUGCCCACCUGUGUUACUGCUUUACUGUGCAAAAUACUGAAGGCAAGUCAGACCCAGGGAGCUGGAUUGCCAUCCUUUAUUUUGUGUUUCCAGUGUACACUAUAAAAUUGUCUCCCCAGGAAGGAAGGUUGGCACUUUCUCUGCAUUCUUCUUUCCAGAGCAGAUUGCCUGGUUAAGAAUCUCUUGUUGUCCCCUUUGUAUAUUGUUAUUGUAAAGUGCCAAAUGCCAGGAUACAGCCAGAAAAAUUGCUUAUUAUUAUUAAAAAAAUUUUUUUAAGAAAGACAUCUGGAUUGUAGGGUGGACUCGAUAACCUGGUCAUUAUUUUUUUGAAGCCAAAAUAUCCAUUUAUACUAUGUACCUGGUGACCAGUGUCUCUCAUUUUAACUGAGGGUGGUGGGUCUGUGGAUAGAACACUGACUCUUGCUAUUUUAAUAUCAAAGAUAUUCUAGAGUGGAACUCUUAAGACCAGUAUCUUUGUGUGGGCUUUACCAGCAUUCACUUUUAGAAAAACUACCUAAAUUUUAUAAUCCUUUAAUUUCUUCAUCUGGAGCACCUGCCCCUACUUAUUUCAAGAAGAUUGCAGUAAAACGAUUAAAUGAGGGAACAUAUGCAGAGGUGCUUUUAAAAAGCAUAUGCCACCUUUUUUAUUAAUUAUUAUAUAAAAUGAAGCAUUUAAUUAUAGUAAUAAUUUGAAGUAGUUUGAAGUACCACACUGAGGUGAGGACUUAAAAAUGAUAAGACGAGUUCCCUAUUUUAUAAGAAAAAUAAGCCAAAAUUAAAUAUUCUUUUGGAUAUAAAUUUCAACAGUGAGAUAGCUGCCUAGUGGAAAUGAAUAAUAUCCCAGCCACUAGUGUACAGGGUGUUUUGUGGCACAGGAUUAUGUAAUAUGGAACUGCUCAAGCAAAUAACUAGUCAUCACAACAGCAGUUCUUUGUAAUAACUGAAAAAGAAUAUUGUUUCUCGGAGAAGGAUGUCAAAAGAUCGGCCCAGCUCAGGGAGCAGUUUGCCCUACUAGCUCCUCGGACAGCUGUAAAGAAGAGUCUCUGGCUCUUUAGAAUACUGAUCCCAUUGAAGAUACCACGCUGCAUGUGUCCUUAGUAGUCAUGUCUCCUUAGGCUCCUCUUGGACAUUCUGAGCAUGUGAGACCUGAGGACUGCAAACAGCUAUAAGAGGCUCCAAAUUAAUCAUAUCUUUCCCUUUGAGAAUCUGGCCAAGCUCCAGCUAAUCUACUUGGAUGGGUUGCCAGCUAUCUGGAGAAAAAGAUCUUCCUCAGAAGAAUAGGCUUGUUGUUUUACAGUGUUAGUGAUCCAUUCCCUUUGACGAUCCCUAGGUGGAGAUGGGGCAUGAGGAUCCUCCAGGGGAAAAGCUCACUACCACUGGGCAACAACCCUAGGUCAGGAGGUUCUGUCAAGAUACUUUCCUGGUCCCAGAUAGGAAGAUAAAGUCUCAAAAACAACCACCACACGUCAAGCUCUUCAUUGUUCCUAUCUGCCAAAUCAUUAUACUUCCUACAAGCAGUGCAGAGAGCUGAGUCUUCAGCAGGUCCAAGAAAUUUGAACACACUGAAGGAAGUCAGCCUUCCCACCUGAAGAUCAACAUGCCUGGCACUCUAGCACUUGAGGAUAGCUGAAUGAAUGUGUAUUUCUUUGUCUCUUUCUUUCUUGUCUUUGCUCUUUGUUCUCUAUCUAAAGUGUGUCUUACCCAUUUCCAUGUUUCUCUUGCUAAUUUCUUUCGUGUGUGCCUUUGCCUCAUUUUCUCUUUUUGUUCACAAGAGUGGUCUGUGUCUUGUCUUAGACAUAUCUCUCAUUUUUCAUUUUGUUGCUAUUUCUCUUUGCUCUCCUAGAUGUGGCUCUUCUUUCACGCUUUAUUUCAUGUCUCCUUUUUGGGUCACAUGCUGUGUGCUUUUUGUCCUUUUCUUGUUCUGUCUACCUCUCCUUUCUCUGCCUACCUCUCUUUUCUCUUUGUGAACUGUGAUUAUUUGUUACCCCUUCCCCUUCUCGUUCGUUUUAAAUUUCACCUUUUUUCUGAGUCUGGCCUCCUUUCUGCUGUUUCUACUUUUUAUCUCACAUUUCUCAUUUCUGCAUUUCCUUUCUGCCUCUCUUGGGCUAUUCUCUCUCUCCUCCCCUGCGUGCCUCAGCAUCUCUUGCUGUUUGUGAUUUUCUAUUUCAGUAUUAAUCUCUGUUGGCUUGUAUUUGUUCUCUGCUUCUUCCCUUUCUACUCACCUUUGAGUAUUUCAGCCUCUUCAUGAAUCUAUCUCCCUCUCUUUGAUUUCAUGUAAUCUCUCCUUAAAUAUUUCUUUGCAUAUGUGGGCAAGUGUACGUGUGUGUGUGUCAUGUGUGGCAGAGGGGCUUCCUAACCCCUGCCUGAUAGGUGCAGAACGUCGGCUAUCAGAGCAAGCAUUGUGGAGCGGUUCCUUAUGCCAGGCUGCCAUGUGAGAUGAUCCAAGACCAAAACAAGGCCCUAGACUGCAGUAAAACCCAGAACUCAAGUAGGGCAGAAGGUGGAAGGCUCAUAUGGAUAGAAGGCCCAAAGUAUAAGACAGAUGGUUUGAGACUUGAGACCCGAGGACUAAGAUGGAAAGCCCAUGUUCCAAGAUAGAUAGAAGCCUCAGGCCUGAAACCAACAAAAGCCUCAAGAGCCAAGAAAACAGAGGGUGGCCUGAAUUGGACCGAAGGCCUGAGUUGGAUGGAAGUCUCAAGGCUUGAGUUAGAAGUCUUAAGACCUGGGACAGGACACAUGGAAGGCCUAAGAACUGAGACUUGUGACACAAGGCCAACGACCUAAGAUUAGCCCAGGGUUGUAGCUGGAAGACCUACAACCCAAGGAUGGAAGGCCCCUGUCACAAAGCCUACCUAGAUGGAUAGAGGACCCAAGCGAAAAAGGUAUCUCAAGACUAACGGCCGGAAUCUGGAGGCCCAUGACCCAGAACCCAGGAAGGAUAGAAGCUUGAAGACCUGGGGAAAUCCCAAGAUGAGAACCCUAAACCCUACCUCUUUUCUAUUGUUUACACUUCUUACUCUUAGAUAUUUCCAGUUCUCCUGUUUAUCUUUAAGCCUGAUUCUUUUGAGAUGUACUUUUUGAUGUUGCCGGUUACCUUUAGAUUGACAGUAUUAUGCCUGGGCCAGUCUUGAGCCAGCUUUAAAUCACAGCUUUUACCUAUUUGUUAGGCUAUAGUGUUUUGUAAACUUCUGUUUCUAUUCACAUCUUCUCCACUUGAGAGAGACACCAAAAUCCAGUCAGUAUCUAAUCUGGCUUUUGUUAACUUCCCUCAGGAGCAGACAUUCAUAUAGGUGAUACUGUAUUUCAGUCCUUUCUUUUGACCCCAGAAGCCCUAGACUGAGAAGAUAAAAUGGUCAGGUUGUUGGGGAAAAAAAAGUGCCAGGCUCUCUAGAGAAAAAUGUGAAGAGAUGCUCCAGGCCAAUGAGAAGAAUUAGACAAGAAAUACACAGAUGUGCCAGACUUCUGAGAAGCACCUGCCAGCAACAGCUUCCUUCUUUGAGCUUAGGUGAGCAGGAUUCUGGGGUUUGGGAUUUCUAGUGAUGGUUAUGGAAAGGGUGACUGUGCCUGGGACAAAGCGAGGUCCCAAGGGGACAGCCUGAACUCCCUGCUCAUAGUAGUGGCCAAAUAAUUUGGUGGACUGUGCCAACGCUACUCCUGGGUUUAAUACCCAUCUCUAGGCUUAAAGAUGAGAGAACCUGGGACUGUUGAGCAUGUUUAAUACUUUCCUUGAUUUUUUUCUUCCUGUUUAUGUGGGAAGUUGAUUUAAAUGACUGAUAAUGUGUAUGAAAGCACUGUAAAACAUAAGAGAAAAACCAAUUAGUGUAUUGGCAAUCAUGCAGUUAACAUUUGAAAGUGCAGUGUAAAUUGUGAAGCAUUAUGUAAAUCAGGGGUCCACAGUUUUUCUGUAAGGGGUCAAAUCAUAAAUACUUUAGACUGUGGGCCAUAUGGUUUCUGUUACAUAUUUGUUUUUUAAACAACGUUUUUAUAAGGUCAAAAUCAUUCUUAGUUUUUGAGCCAAUUGGAUUUGGCCUGCUGUUCAUAGCUUACCACCCCCUGAUGUAUUAUUUGUUAUUCAGAGAAAAUUUCUGAAUACUACUAGUUUCCUUUUCUGUGCCUGUCCCUGUGCUAGGCACUAAAAAUGCAAUGAUUAUUGAUAUCUAGGUGACCUGAAAAAAAAUAGUGAAUGUGCUUUGUAAACUGUAAAGCACUUGUAUUCUACUGUGAUAAGCGUUGUGGAUACAAAGAAAGGAGCAAGCAUAAAAAAGUGCUCUUUCAAAAGGAUAUAGUACUAUGCAGACACAAGGAAUUGUUUGAUAAAUGAAUAAAUUAUAUGUAUAUUUGAGGCCAAUUUGUGUUUGCUGCUCUGGUAAUUUUGAGUAAAAAUGCAGUAUUCCAGGUAUCAGAAACGAAAACACAUGGAAACUGCUUUUAAACUUUAAAAUAUACUGAAAACAUAAGGGACUAAGCUUGUUGUGGUCACCUAUAAUGUGCCAGAUACCAUGCUGGGUGCUAGAGCUACCAAAGGGGGAAAAGUAUUCUCAUAGAACAAAAAAUUUCAGAAAGGUGCAUAUUAAAGUGCUUUGUAAACUAAAGCAUGAUACAAAUGUCAAUGGGCUACAUAUUUAUGAAUGAAUGAAUGGAUGAAUGAAUAUUAAGUGCCUCUUACAUACCAGCUAUUUUGGGUACUGUAAAAUACAAGAUUAAUUCUCCUAUGUAAUAAGAGGAAAGUUUAUCCUCUAUACUAUUCAGAUGUAAGGAAUGAUAUAUUGCUUAAUUUUAAACAAUCAAGACUUUACUGGUGAGGUUAAGUUAAAUUAUUACUGAUACAUUUUUCCAGGUAACCAGGAAAGAGCUAGUAUGAGGAAAUGAAGUAAUAGAUGUGAGAUCCAGACCGAAAGUCACUUAAUUCAGCUUGCGAAUGUGCUUUCUAAAUUAUAAAGCACUUGUAAAUGAAAAAUUUGAUGCUUUCUGUAUGAAUAAAACUUUCUGUAAGCUAGGUAUUGUCUCUACAAAAUUCUCAUUGUAUAGUUAAACCACAGUGAGAAGGGUUCUAUAAGUAGUUAUACAAACCAAGGGUUUAAAUACCUGUUAAAUAGAUCAAUUUUGAUUGCCUACUAUGUGAACUCACUGUUAAAGGCACUGAAAAUUUAUCAUAUUUCAUUUAGCCACAGCCAAAAAUAAGGCAAUACCUAUGUUAGCAUUUUGUGAACUCUAAGGCACCAUAUAAAUGUAACUGUUGAUUUUCUCACUUGGUGCUGGGUACUAGGUUUAUAAAAUUGUAUGAUAGUUAUUAUAUUGUGCAAAUAAAGUAGGAAAAUUUGAAUAACAAUGAUUAUCUUUUGAAUACGCAUACGCAAGGGAUUGGUUGUCUGAAGAAUGCCACUAUAGUAGUUAUCUAUUGUGUGCCAAUCUCAUUGCUAGGCAUUGGGGAUGCAAAGAUAAACCAUCUUUAUUGUGUCUUGGGUAGCAGAAGAAAAUAUGUGUAAAAUCAAUUUAUAAUUUGUAAACUGCCACCCAUAUAUAAGCUAUAUCUGCUGAAUGAUCAUUGAUUACUCUUAUCCUUAGAGAUAACAACUGGGGGCACAAACAUUUAUUAUCAUUAUUGAACCUACAACAGAGAUCUAUGUGUAGAUUUACAAAGCCUACAGUUCUAUACAGAUAGGAAUGAACUAUUGGCUUACUGAAUGGUGAUUACUUUCUGUGGGGCUCGGAACUACAUGCCCUAGGAUAUAAAAAUGAUGUUAUCAUUAUAGAGUGCUCACAGAAGGAAAUGAAGUAAUAUAGGUGUGAGAUCCAGACCAAAAGUCAUUUAACAAGUUUAUUCAGUGAUGAAAACAUGGGACAAAUGGACUAAUAUAAGGCAGUGUACUAAGCUGAGUAGAGAGAUAAAGUCCUGUCCAGAAGAUACAUGCUUCCUGGCCUGAUUGAGGAGAUGGAAAAUUUUUGCAAAAAACAAGGUGUUGUGGUCUUCCAUCCAGUUUCUUAAGUGCUGAUGAUAAAAGUGAAUUAGACCCACCUUGACCUGGCCUACAGAAGUAAAGGAGUAAAAAUAAAUGCCUCAGGCGUGCUUUUUGAUUCAUUUGAUAAACAAAGCAUCUUUUAUGUGGAAUAUACCAUUCUGGGUCCUGAGGAUAAGAGAGAUGAGGGCAUUAGAUCACUGACAGCUGAAGAUAGAAGAACAUCUUUGGUUUGAUUGUUUAAAUAAUAUUUCAAUGCCUAUUCUCUGCAAGGUACUAUGUUUCGUAAAUUAAAUAGGUCUGGCCCAGAAGACCCACUCAAUUGCCUUUGAGAUUAAAAAAAAAAAAAAAAAGAAAGAAAAAUGCAAGUUUCUUUCAAAAUAAAGAGACAUUUUUCCUAGUUUCAGGAAUCCCCCAAAUCACUUCCUCAUUGGCUUAGUUUAAAGCCAGGAGACUGAUAAAAGGGCUCAGGGUUUGUUCUUUAAUUCAUUAACUAAACAUUCUGCUUUUAUUACAGUUAAAUGGUUCAAGAUGUAACAACUAGUUUUAAAGGUAUUUGCUCAUUGGUCUGGCUUAGAGACAGGAAGACAUAUGAGCAAUAAAAAAAAGAUUCUUUUGCAUUUACCAAUUUAGUAAAAAUUUAUUAAAACUGAAUAAAGUGCUGUUCUUAAGUGCUUGAAAGACGUAAACCAAAGUGCACUUUAUCUCAUUUAUCUUAUGGUGGAAACACAGGAACAAAUUCUCUAAGAGACUGUGUUUCUUUAGUUGAGAAGAAACUUCAUUGAGUAGCUGUGAUAUGUUCGAUACUAAGGAAAAACUAAACAGAUCACCUUUGACAUGCGUUGUAGAGUGGGAAUAAGAGAGGGCUUUUUAUUUUUUCGUUCAUACGAGUAUUGAUGAAGAUGAUACUAAAUGCUAAAUGAAAUAUAUCUGCUCCAAAAGGCAUUUAUUCUGACUUGGAGAUGCAACAAAAACACAAAAAUGGAAUGAAGUGAUACUCUUCAUCAAACAGAAGUGACUGUUAUCUCAACCAUUUUGUUAAAUCCUAAACAGAAAACAAAAAAAAUCAUGACGAAAAGACACUUGCUUAUUAAUUGGCUUGGAAAGUAGAAUAUAGGAGAAAGGUUACUGUUUAUUUUUUUUCAUGUAUUCAUUCAUUCUACAAAUAUAUUCGGGUGCCAAUAGGUACUUGGUAUAAGGUUUUUGGCCCCAGAGACAUGGGAAAAAAAUGCAUGCCUUCCCAGAGAAUGCCUAAUACUUUCCUUUUGGCUUGUUUUCUUGUUAGGGGCAUGGCUUAGUCCCUAAAUAACAUUGUGUGGUUUAAUUCCUACUCCGUAUCUCUUCUACCACUCUGGCCACUACGAUAAGCAGGUAGCUGGGUUUUGUAGUGAGCUUGCUCCUUAAGUUACAGGAACUCUCCUUAUAAUAGACACUUCAUUUUCCUAGUCCAUCCCUCAUGAAAAAUGACUGACCACUGCUGGGCAGCAGGAGGGAUGAUGACCAACUAAUUCCCAAACCCCAGUCUCAUUGGUACCAGCCUUGGGGAACCACCUACACUUGAGCCACAAUUGGUUUUGAAGUGCAUUUACAAGGUUUGUCUAUUUUCAGUUCUUUACUUUUUACAUGCUGACACAUACAUACACUGCCUAAAUAGAUCUCUUUCAGAAACAAUCCUCAGAUAACGCAUAGCAAAAUGGAGAUGGAGACAUGAUUUCUCAUGCAACAGCUUCUCUAAUUAUACCUUAGAAAUGUUCUCCUUUUUAUCAUCAAAUCUGCUCAAGAAGGGCUUUUUAUAGUAGAAUAAUAUCAGUGGAUGAAAACAGCUUAACAUUUUACCAUGCUUAAGUUUUAAGAAUAAAAUAAAAAUUGGAAAUAAUUGGCCAAAAUUGAAAGGAAAAAUUUUUUUAAAAUUUCUCUAAAUGUAGGCCUGGCUGGGCUUUGACCUUUUCCGUUUUUAAAUCACUCACAGAGGGUGGGACAGGAGGAAGAGUGAAGGAAAAGGUCAAACCUGUUUUAAGGGCAACCUGCCUUUGUUCUGAAUUGGUCUUAAGAACAUUACCAGCUCCAGGUUUAAAUUGUUCAGUUUCAUGCAGUUCCAAUAGCUGAUCAUUGUUGAGAUGAGGACAAAAUCCUUUGUCCUCACUAGUUUGCUUUACAUUUUUGAAAAGUAUUAUUUUUGUCCAAGUGCUUAUCAACUAAACCUUGUGUUAGGUAAGAAUGGAAUUUAUUAAGUGAAUCAGUGUGACCCUUCUUGUCAUAAGAUUAUCUUAAAGCUGAAGCCAAAAUAUGCUUCAAAAGAAGAGGACUUUAUUGUUCAUUGUAGUUCAUACAUUCAAAGCAUCUGAACUGUAGUUUCUAUAGCAAGCCAAUUACAUCCAUAAGUGGAGAAGGAAAUAGAUAAAUGUCAAAGUAUGAUUGGUGGAGGGAGCAAGGUUGAAGAUAAUCUGGGGUUGAAAUUUUCUAGUUUUCAUUCUGUACAUUUUUAGUUAGACAUCAGAUUUGAAAUAUUAAUGUUUACCUUUCAAUGUGUGGUAUCAGCUGGACUCAGUAACACCCCUUUCUUCAGCUGGGGAUGGGGAAUGGAUUAUUGGAAAAUGGAAAGAAGAAAGUAACUAAAAGCCUUCCUUUCACAGUUUCUGGCAUCACUACCACUACUGAUUAAACAAGAAUAAGAGAACAUUUUAUCAUCAUCUGCUUUAUUCACAUAAAUGAAGUUGUGAUGAAUAAAUCUGCUUUUAUGCAGACACAAGGAAUUAAGUGGCUUCGUCAUUGUCCUUCUACCUCAAAGAUAAUUUAUUCCAAAAGCUAAGAUAAAUGGAAGACUCUUGAACUUGUGAACUGAUGUGAAAUGCAGAAUCUCUUUUGAGUCUUUGCUGUUUGGAAGAUUGAAAAAUAUUGUUCAGCAUGGGUGACCACCAGAAAGUAAUCUUAAGCCAUCUAGAUGUCACAAUUGAAACAAACUGGGGAGUUGGUUGCUAUUGUAAAAUAAAAUAUACUGUUUUGAAAACUUUGUAUUUUGAUGUGACAAUUUCUAACUCACUGUCCCUAACCACACUAAUUACCGUAAGUUCUUCAUUUCUUUUUUCUUUUUCUUUUUAAAUUAAUAAAUUAAUUUAUUUUUUGGAGAUGGAGUCUCGCUUUGUUGCCCAGGCUGGAGUGCAGUGGUGCCAUCUUGGCUCACUGUAACCUCUGCCUCCUGGGUUCAAGCGAUUCUCCUGCCUCAGCCUCACCAGUAGCUGGGAUUACAGUCAUGAGCCACCAUGCCUGGCUAAUGGUUGUAUUUUUAGUAGAGACGGGGUUUUGCCAUGUUGGCCAGGCUGGUCACGAACUCCUGACUUAAAGUGAAACACCUGCCUCGGCCUCCCAAAGUUCUGGGAUUACAGGCGGGAGCCACCGUGCCUGGCCUCAUUUCUUUUUUUAAACUACCUUAAUCACCCAGUGUGGGUAAAUGGUUUGAAGUCUCAUUUCUUACAGCAUCAGUUGCUUUGGUCAAGGAUACUGAGAAGCACAAACCCAGUAAAAAAUGUGAGAAGCAAAAAACUUGAGGAUCAAAAGUGGGAGAGGAGAAGGGUAUAAACUGUAAGGCUGUGGGAAUUAAGCAUUCAUGAAAGAGGCCCAGACCCUGAGUAGGUGAAGGGAUCUUCAGUGUUUCUAGAAUUCUGAAUGAUCAAAUACCCAAACAUUAGAUUGGUGACUUUAUAGGCAAAUGAACCAGCACAGUAUUUUUUUUUUUUUUGAGACAGAGUCUCGCUCUGUCUCCAGGCUGGAGUGCGGUGGUGUGAUCGGCUCACUGCAACCUCUGCCACCCAGGUUCAAGCAAUUGUGCCUCAGCCUCCCGAAUAGCUGGGAUUAAAGGCGUGUAGUACGACAGCAGGCUAAUUUUUGUAUUUAAUUUAGUAGAGAGAGGGUUUCACCAUUUUGGCCAGGCUAGUCUCUUAACUCCUGACCUCAAAUGAUCCACCCGCCUCGGCCUCCCAAAGUGCUGGGAUUACGGGCAUAAGUCGCCGUGCCCAGCCCCCAGCACAGUAUUCUAUAGGCAAGAGUUCCUACUGCUUUGUUGGAAAUUAAACUGGAAACUGGUUUUUUUUUUUUUCUCCAGAAAGUCUUAAGCUGUUAUGGGCCCAGAUGGUUAUUCAGUAUAUGAACUUUUUUUUUUUUUUUUUUAGACAGUGUCUUGCUCAGCCACCCAGGCUGGAGUGCAGUGGUGUGAUCUCGGCUCACUGCAGCCACUGUCUCCCAGGUUCAAGUGAUUCUCCCGUCCCAGCCUCCAGAACAGCUGGCAUUACAGGCACCCGCCAUCAUGCCCGGCUAACUUUUGUAUUUUAGUAGAGACUGGGUUUCACCAUGUUGGCCAGGCUAGUCUUGAACUCCUGACCUCAGGUGAUCCACCAGCCUUGGCCUCCCAAGGUGCUAGGAUUACAGGUGUGAGCCGCCGCACCCGUCCCAGUACAUGGACCUUUAAAACCGAUGCCUGAAGAACUCUUACCUAUGUGUUAACAGUUGAAUUUUGUCAUUAUAAAUGAGUAGAGUUUGAGGUGAUAAAGUUGACCCAUAUCUUGGGGGUUGCUUCUGAACUGGGAUGGUGCUACAUGGACUUUUCUCUUUACUCUUAUUUCUUUGCAAGGCUGGAUGUGUAGGACAGAGGGAAAGCAGGUGAGGCGGUAAGGAGACUUCCUGAAGUUAUUCUUGAGUGUCUUCUGUUCCUUUGUCCAUCCCUCUUGAUUCCUUCAGCAGAUCCUAUUCCCAUAGGGGCUUACUUCAGUCCCCUUGUCAUAUUUGCUGUGCUUACUCUUGUGUUUGUGGUGCUUUGGUCCUCAAAUUCCUUGAUUCUCUUGUAAAAUUUGAAGGGAGAGGAAAUGAAAAACACCGUAUCUCCUGGUUAGUGAGGAAAGGUCAGACAAGGCAAUUUUAUAGGGGCAGCAGAAAUAUUUAGAAAAUGUCAAAGCAUUUGAUAGUAUUUUUCAGUUUUUGUAUUUUUUAUGUGGUGUGUAUGAAGUGGUCACUGUAUGCUUGUAGUUGGAUUUGGUGCCAGCCCAACCCACAUCCACAAAAACUUGUGCCUCCUAUCAAUUUACUCUUUUACCCUUGGUCAUGAGAAAAGGUAAUGUUACUGAGGCCAGUAGACUUAGGCAAGCAUCUAUCAUUCAAAUUUCGAAGUGGAAUAAUUUAAAUGGGGUUUAAAAUUUAGCCAGCCAUUCUAUUCACUGUGAAUGGAUAGGCAGGAAGUGUGCUAAUCAUAGGUCCAACUUCUGAAAAAGGUGGAGGUAGCAAGGAAAACCAGUUGAAGGACCUUAGUACCUUUCCCAUGAAUUAUAGCAAAUGGAGCACCAAGGCAAUUACAUGGUAGCUGAGGAGUCAUUAGUUCUCAAAAUUCAAACCCCACUCAGCUAUAUUGUUUCCAUUGGCUUGGUAAAGGUGAACUUUUGAGGGGUUCUUAUUGUUAGUAUUUCCUGGGUUUGCCACAGUCUUGCUCCCAGUACCAGCAUUCUCAGUGACGAGCUUCCUUUUACCCACUCCAGUUUCUCUUCUCUGUGUACUCUGGAUCAAAAUAGUAACUCCUUUCUAGAGUGCUAGAACAAAAGCUGGCAUCACUUGAGGGCCUAAGGAGAGGAGAGCAAAGGGAGAGCAGAAUGCAAAGUAGAGUGGGAAAGAAAGUUGGAUUCGAGCAGCCUUGCAGGUAGCUAACUACUUAGGCAGAACCUGUCACUUUAUGGGAACUCCGUGGUAAGGAAAAAAAUUCAUAAGCAGACUUUGCAGGCAGGAUUUCAAAAAAUCUUAGGAAUUCUGACUCACAUUAAAUAGAAGAAGAAUGUCAAAGGUUGAGUGGCUUGUGAGGGAUGAGCUUUGAGUGGACCCUACUUUAUAAUAUUCCGUGAAGAAAUGAUUAG
rnacentral:lncRNA from 1 species